rnacentral:SRP_RNA from 1 species
GCUGGGCGUGGUGGCGGGUGCCUGUAAUCCCAGCUACUUGGGAGGCUGAGUCAGGAGAAUCGCUGGAACCCAGGAGUCGGAGCUUGCAGUGAGUCACAAUCUUACCACUGCACUCCAGCCUGGGAGACACAGCGAGACUCUGUCUCAA